rnacentral:misc_RNA from 1 species
GUCGUAACAAGGUUUCCGUAGGUGAACCUGCGGAAGGAUCAUUACCACACCGAUCCAAGAUCUUUUUUCACCGUGAAGCGCGGUCCCCUGGAUACUGGCGAAGCUGUUAGGUUGGCACUGUAAGCAGUUGCCGGCUGGACGCGUGCUGGUGGGACUGCACACCAAAUGUGCUGUUGGGCUGUGUAACAGCAGCCUUUCAGUGCGACCGUCUCUUUUUUGCGACAUUAACCGGCCUUGACCCAACAAACUGAACCAAAAGGGCACGACCAGCCGUCACCUAGUGUGUUGGCAAGUCUGCUUUCCAAAGUAAAUACCUUACAACUUUCAGCGAUGGAUGUCUAGGUUCCCA